rnacentral:tRNA from 2 species
GGUCGCGUAGCUCAGCUGGAUAGAGCAUCUGCCUUCUAAGCAGACGGUCAAAGGUUCGAAUCCUUUCGCGAUCACCA